GUUCAGUGAUGUAUUGUCAUUACAUCAUUCUGAAUAAAACUAUGUGGUGGCAUCCUGUGACUGAGUAUA